rnacentral:rRNA from 1 species
AACGAACGCUGGCGGCAUGCCUAACACAUGCAAGUCGAACGAUUGCCUUCGGGUGAUAGUGGCGCACGGGUGCGUAACGCGUGGGAAUCUGCCCUUAGGUUCGGAAUAACAGUUGGAAACGGCUGCUAAUACCGGAUGAUAUCGCAAGACCACAGAUUUAUCGCCGGAGGAUGCGCCCGCGUUGGCUUACUUAGUUGGUGGGGUGAAGGCCUACCAAGCCGACGAUCCAUAGAUGGGCAGAGAGGAUGAUCAGACACACUGGGGCUGGGACGCGGCGCAGACUCUUACGGGAGGGAGCAGUGGGUAAUAUUGGAAAACGGGGGCAAGGCUGAACCAGCAAUGCCUGGUGAGUGAUGAAGGCCCGAGGGAAGUAAAGCUCUUUAACCCGGGAAGAUAAUGACGGUACCGGGAGAAUAAGCCCCGGCUAACUCCGUG